CGGGACGGGUGAGUAAUGUCUGGGAAACUAGCCUGAUGAGGGGGGAUAACUACUGGAAACGGUAGCUAAUACCGCAUAACGUCGCAAGACCAAAGAGGGGACCUUCGGGCCUCUUGCCAUCGGAUGUGCCCAGAUGGGAUUAGCUAGUAGGUGGGGUAACGGCUCACCUAGGCGACGAUCCCUAGCUGGUCUGAGAGGAUGACCAGCCACACUGGAACUGAGACACGGUCCAG
rnacentral:rRNA from 1 species